AUCCAUGAGCAUGGGAGAUCUUUCCAUCUUCUGAGAUCUUCUUUAAUUUCUUUCUUCAGAGACUUAAGUUCUUAUUUUUGUAUCUGUUGAGGCCUGUUUUGUGAUCAAUUAUAUGGUCAUUUUUGGAGAAGGUACCAUGAGGUGCUGAGAAGAAGGUAUAUCCUUUUGUUUUAGGAUAAAAUGUUCUGUAGGUAUCUGUUAAGUCCAUUUGUUUCAUCACUUCUGUUAGUUUCACUACUUCCCUGUUUAGUUUCUGUUUCCAUGAUCUGUCCAUUGAUGAAAGUGGUGUGUUGAAGUGUCCCAGUAUUAUUGUAUGAGGUGCAAUAUGUGAUUUGAGGUUUACUAAAGUUUCUUUAAUGAAUGUGGCUGCCCUUGUAUUUGGGGCAUAGAUAUUCAGAAUUGAGAGUUCCCCUUGGAGGAUUUUACAUUUGAUGAGUAUGAAGUGUCCCUCCUUGUCUUUUUUUGAUAACUUAGGCUUGGAAGUCAAUUUUAUUCAAUAUUAGAAUGGCUACUCUGUGCCCAAGCAACCCAGUGCUGGAGGGAACCGGAAGGGCAGAUAUUUUCUUAUUUAAAUUUCAGUAACACUGAUAUUUGUCAUUCUUCUGUUUCUGAGCAUUGGUGUAACAAAACUAUUUGAUUUUCUCAUGACCAUGGUAGAUUCUCUUUUCCAUCCUGUUACCUUGGAUUCAAUUUCCUUAUAUACACUUUUAUAUUUCAUUCAGAGGUGAUUAUGGUAUAAUGUUUUUAUGUUUAUAAGAAUCAACUGAAAUCAUACUGAAAAUAAAUAAUAGCAUUUUUGCUUUGAGUUUAAGGUGAUAAGGAGCUGGAAAUCAAUAGGAGGUGAUUUCAGUUAUUUAUAAGAGAACAUUUUGUUCAUUUGUAGAAAAACUUUGUUGGGGUUGAUAGACCUUACGUCUUUUAAGGAUUUGUCCAGAAAUCAAAGAGCUAUUAGAUGCUAAUUCUUGAACUACCUUAGAGAUCUUAGGGGAAGAGGCACAGACUUUCUUCAUAAAAGGACUACCACCACAGUUCUAAUGCAUAGAUGAGUAUCUGAGCCUUUGCUUUCCUGUAGCCUCCAUGCGAAAUGUAAUAUAGACCUGGGAGAAAGAGAAACAGUUCUUCAUGAAUAAGGUUUGUUUGACUGAACUGUCAAGACAAUGACUACUAUGCAUGUGCAGAUGUUCUUUUUGCUCCUUCCCUGCUACACUUUCUAUCCUUCCCUAGAUCUUCACAUUAUUACAUGUGAGAAGUUUAAAAAAAUGUAUGAAAAAUAACUCUAGGUCCCAAGGAUGUGAUUCAGUGUUAAAAAAUUCACUGAAUACAUGAACUUCUGGUUCUCUGCAACAGUAGAAAUUUUAGUCAAUUGGAAAAUAUAUUUACUUCUUCAAAAGGAGACUUAAUAGGUUCUCUGGCCUUGUGAAUGUAUAUAUAUCACAAACAUGAUAUUUUCAAUAGAACUCUUACAAAAUUUGAGGACAAGUGGAUAGCAUAUGAAAGUUGGAUUCCUUACUCAAAAGUACACAAGACAACAGUAAUAUCUGAGUUAAUCAAUGUCAUAAUGAGAACAAAUAUAACUAAGACAGGAGCAAAACAGCCAAAAGAAAAAUAUAUAAUAGCCAUUCAUAUAAGGUAUAAGCUUUUAAACUGUAACUUAGCCAUUCAAAUGUGUGUUACAAUAAAUAAGGGACUUAGAUAGAAUGAUAUUUGUCUAUCUAUCUAUCUAUCUAUCUAUCUACUAUCUAUCUAUCUAUCAUCUGACUGUCAAUUUGCAAUACACUUGCUUAUAUUAUAUUGUGUGAUUAUGUACAAAAUACAGUGUUUAUCUGUGGCUUUUCAUAGUCUAAUCAUUUCUUUUAUUUUGUUGUGGAUUAUCUUGCAUGUACACCAGAUAUAGUACAUGAUGACAAUGUGUACUUUCAGCCAAAAUUGGCAGAAUCACUAUUGCUUUAACAUAAAAAAUUAAAUGCUGGUUAACAGUCUUCUUUCUAAUUUUUUAGAACACAAAUAAGGGGAAAUUACACUGUGAAUCCAGCCAAUCCAACACUUUUCAAAUGGCUUGAAAAGUAAUCCUGGGUAUAACACACACAAGUACUAAAAUUACCAUUCUCUAGAGAUUAAAACAACAAACAAACAAAGAACAAAACAGAACAAAACAAAACAAAAGCUAUUCAAAGCAGACUAUCCCACAAGUCAUUGUACUCUUAUACCAAAGAAUUUAGAGGAAUUUCUUAUACAUUUAGACUGUGAGUAGUAUAGGACCUUUAUAUUGGUAACACCAAUCAAACAUCAUCAAACUUCAACAUCAUAUACCCUUAUUCUAAAACACAUAUGAGGUAUUAUGACCUAAGACAUCAGAGGAGAGAUUGUGUAACAGCACAUAAUCUCUCCUCAUAUUUUUAUUAUAAUCAAGGUAGAAGGCUUAUGUUGAAAUACCUAACCAUCCCAACCAUGUUUUCCAAACAUAGAGAUAAUUAUAGAGGAGACAAAAAAAUAAAGCUUGUACUCUGACUCUGAAUAGAUCCAAUAAAAGCCUGUUCACUGCUCUUCCAAUGGUUGUUGAAAAACCAGAGAAGUACACCUCAUCAGGGUCCCUAUUCUUUGUUUCUGCCCACUUUGAACACAAUUUAUCCAGAUAAUUUAUUCUUUACUCCCAUAUAUGAUGUAUUUAUAAAAAGGUAAAAAGAAGGGGGAUAGGUUUGUUUGGAUGUGUGGUGAGGUGUGGGGAAGAGAAUGUCUCUGUGGGACCCUUCUGAGGCAUCCCUUCCCCCUGAGAGACCAGUCACAGGAUGGUACAGUGUAGAAUAGAGUUUAUUCAUGGCAUAGAGAGGGCAUUUAAGAGGGCAGUAUGGAUAAAGAAAGGCAAAGAAGAGGCAUAGAGAAGUAGAGGCUGACCAUGAGUAUGUGGAGAGAGAGAGGGGGGGGAAGGGGAAUGGGAAAGAGAGGGGGGAAAGAUGAGAGAAUAGAGCAAGAGUAGGAAGGCAAGAGAGAGUGGAAGGGGGAAGCUGCCCCUUUUAUAGUAAGUCAGGCACACCUGGCUGUUGCCACGUAACUGUUGGGCAGAGCUAAGACAAAAUGCUAACAUUCCCCUAUUUUGGUUUAAUG
rnacentral:lncRNA from 1 species